rnacentral:rRNA from 1 species
AUUGAACGCUGGCGGCAGGCCUAACACAUGCAAGUCGAACGAGUGGCGGACGGGUGAGUAAUGUCUGGGAAACUGCCUGAUGGAGGGGGAUAACUACUGGAAACGGUAGCUAAUAACGCAUACCAGCAGAUGUGCCCAGAUGGGAUUAGCUUGUGUGUGGGGUAACGGCCCACCCAGGCGACGAUCCCUAGCUGGUCGGAGAGGAGGACCAGCCCCCCCGGAACUGAGACACGGCCCAGACCCCUCUGCGAGGCGACAGUGGGGAAUAUUGCACAAUUGGCGCAGGGCUGAUCCAACCAAGCCGCGUGUAUGAAGAAGGCCUUCGGGUUGUAAACGUCUUUCACCGGGGGAGCGUUACCCGCAGAAGAAGCACCGGCUAACUCCGUGCCAGCAGCCGCGGUAAUUC